rnacentral:rRNA from 1 species
UACGUAGGGGGCAAGCGUUGUCCGGAAUCAUUGGGCGUAAAGAGCGCGUAGGCGGCCAGAUAAGUCCGGUGUGAAAGUCCCAGGCUCAACCUGGGAAUGCCGCCGGAAACUGUCUGGCUAGAGUCCGGAAGGGGCCAGUGGAAUUCCCGGUGUAGCGGUGAAAUGCGCAGAUAUCGGGAGGAACACCAAUGGCGAAGGCAGCUGGCUGGGACGGUACUGACGCUGAGACGCGAAAGCGUGGGGAGCGAAACAGG